AUUGAACGCUGGCGGCACGCCUAACACAUGCAAGUCGAGCGGCAGCAUGCUUAGUAGCAAUACUAAGUGAUGGCGAGCGGCGGACGGGUGAGGAACACGUAGGAACCUGCCCAAGAGAGGGGGACAACCAAUGGAAACGUUGGCUAAUACCGCAUAAUCUCUUAGGAGAAAAGUUGCCCGUAAGGGUAGCGCUUUUGGAGGGGCCUGCGUCCGAUUAGCUAGUUGGUGAGGUAAUGGCUCACCAAGGCUGUGAUCGGUAACUGGUCUGAGAGGACGACCAGUGAGACUGGGACUGAGACACGGCCCAGACUCCUACGGGAGGCAGCAGUGGGGAAUCUUGGACAAUGGGGGCAACCCUGAUCCAGCGAUGCCGCGUGGGUGAAGAAGGCCUUCGGGUUGUAAAGCCCUUUAGGCUGGGACGAAGGGUAUGGGACGAAUAAUCCUGUACUUUGACGGUACCAGCAGAAUAAGCACCGGCAAACUCUGUGCCAGCAGCCGCAGUAA
rnacentral:rRNA from 1 species